rnacentral:rRNA from 1 species
AACGAACGCUGGCGGCGUGCCUAACACAUGCAAGUCGAGCGAGAAAAGGGGAGCAAUCCCCUGAGUACAGCGGCGCACGGGUGAGUAACACGUAGGUGAUCUCCCCUCGAGCCCGGAAUAACCUACCGAAAGGUGGGCUAAUACCGGAUAUGACCACGGGAGUUUCGGCUCCUGCGGUGAAAGAUGGCCUCUACCUGUAAGCUAUCACUCAAGGAUGAGCCUGCGNGCCAUUAGCUAGUUGGUGAGGUAACGGCUCACCAAGGCGAUGAUGGCUAGCUGGUCUGAGAGGAUGGCCAGCCACACUGGGACUGAAACACGGCCCAGACUCCUACGGGAGGCAGCAGUAGGGAAUCUUGGACAAUGGGGAAACCCUGAUCCAGCCAUGCCGCGUGAGUGAUGAA